AACGAACGCUGGCGGCAUGCCUAACACAUGCAAGUCGAACGAAACCUUCCGGCUUAUUGGCGCUCGGGUGCUUAACGCGUGGGAUGCUGCCCUUAGGUUCGGAAUAACUCCCCGAAAGGGGUGCUAAUACCGCUUAAUGUCUUCGCACCAAAGAUUUAUUGCGUUUGGAUGGGGCCUGGUUGGUUUCGGCAGUUGGUAGUGUAUAAGCCUACCAAGGCGACGUUGCAUAGCUGGUGUGGGAGGAUGAUUAGCCACACUUGGACUGAGACACGGACCAGAAUCCUACGGGAGGCAGCAGUGGGGAAUAUUGGAGACUGAGCGAAGGCCUGAUACAGCCAUGCCGCGUGAGAGAGGAAGGCGUUAGGGUUGUAAAGCUCUUUUACCCGGGAUGAUAGUGACAGUACCGGGUAAAUAAGCUCCGGCUAACUACGUG
rnacentral:rRNA from 1 species